rnacentral:rRNA from 1 species
CCGGAGCUAAUACCGGAUAUGACGCGAACGGGCAUCCGUAUCGUGUGGAAAGUUUUUCGGUCUGGGAUGGGCUCGCGGCCUAUCAGCUUGUUGGUGAGGUAGUGGCUCACCAAGGCGACGACGGGUAGCCGGCCUGAGAGGGCGACCGGCCGCACUGGGACUGAGACACGGCCCAGACUCCUACGGGAGGCAGCAGUGGGGAAUAUUGCACAAUGGGCGCAAGCCUGAUGCAGCGACGCCGCGUGAGGGAUGACGGCCUUCGGGUUGUAAACCUCUUUCAGUAGGGAAGAAGCGCAAGUGACGGUACCUACAGAAGAAGCACCGGCUAACUACGUGCCAGCAGCCGCGGUAAUAUGUAGGGUGCGAGCGUUGUCCGGAAUUAUUGGGCGUAAAGAGCUUGUAGGCGGUUUGUCGCGUCUGCUGUGAAAAUCC